GGCACGCAACUGCCCUGCGUCUAUUCUAUUUGCCCAGGUCGACCAAAGACACAUUUUGCAUCGAUUGUAAGAACAUCUGACGCACAGCAUGAGAGUUAAAGUUGUUCUUGUCAUUUGCGUAUUGGCUGCCAUAUGCGCAUGUGCGUUCGCUGACGAAGAAUCGAGACCAGGCUCCAAUCUGGAAAAAUCAAACAGCCUCCUUAGCCUUUUCAAGAGACGCCAUAGCAAUCGCACAUGCGUAGAACUGUUUGAUCGCUGCAAUUUCCAUAAGCGUUG